rnacentral:rRNA from 1 species
UACGAAGGGGGCUAGCGUUGCUCGGAAUCACUGGGCGUAAAGCGCACGUAGGCGGCUUUUUAAGUCAGGGGUGAAAUCCUGGAGCUCAACUCCAGAACUGCCUUUGAUACUGAGAAGCUUGAGUCCGGGAGAGGUGAGUGGAACUGCGAGUGUAGAGGUGAAAUUCGUAGAUAUUCGCAAGAACACCAGUGGCGAAGGCGGCUCACUGGCCCGGUACUGACGCUGAGGCGCGAAAGCCAGGGGAGCAAACGGG